CAGGCGCACCCGUAAGAACUGAACCUGGAUUGCACAGACUCAUACAAAGCCAGGCAAUUCUUGAGCCAAACAAACAAAGGGGUAUUCUUCAGGGGGUGGAGAACAUUCACAUGGAUUGAUACCUUAGUUUUCUAGCAUGGAGCAAAGAUGCGCCCUCGGGGAAGACAGAUUGAGUUUUGGGGUGCCACAACCUGUGGAAGAUUCACCUGUUCUCUG